UACAGAGGAUGCAAGCGUUAUCCGGAAUGAUUGGGCGUAAAGCGUCUGUAGGUGGCUUUUUAAGUCCGCCGUCAAAUCCCAGGGCUCAACUCUGGACAGGCGGUGGAAACUACCAAGCUGGAGUACGGUAGGGGCAGAGGGAAUUUCCGGUGGAGCGGUGAAAUGUGUUGAUAUCGGAAGGAACGCCGGUGGCGAAAGCGACACACUGGGUCUCAACUGACGCUGAGGCACGAAAGCCAGGGGAGCGAACGGG
rnacentral:rRNA from 1 species